rnacentral:rRNA from 1 species
AUGCUGGUGGAUUGGGUACGCGAGCAUUGCCACAAUGGAACCCUCUUGCAAACUAUGGACACAAGGUUCCAUGGUAACUAUGACAAGGACAAGGCCAGCAUGGUGCUGAAGCUAGGGCUCUUGUGCUUGCAUCCGUUGCCCAGUGCGAGGCCUAGCAUGAAACAAGUCAUGGAGUACCUCGAGGGAGAGACCGCGCUACCAGAGCUAGCACCCACACAUAUCAACAACGUCAACGUGAUGCAAACCAGAGGAUUUCCUGACCUAACGACGAGCAUCGGCACAUUCUCCGGUCUCUCAGGGGGGCGAUGA